AGAGUUUGAUCCUGGCUCAGGAUGAACGCUAGCGGCAGGCCUAAUACAUGCAAGUCGAACGAUAGUGAGGAGCUUGCUUCUCACGAAAAGUGGCGCACGGGUGCGUAACGCGUAUGCAACCUACCUUAAUCAGGGGGAUAGCCCGAAGAAAUUCGGAUUAACACCGCAUAAAAUCACAGUAUAGCAUUAUACAAUGAUCAAAUAUUUAUAGGAUUAAGAUGGGCAUGCGUGACAUUAGUUAGUUGGCGAGGUAACGGCUCACCAAGACUGCGAUGUCUAGGGGAUCUGAGAGGAUGACCCCCCACACUGGUACUGAGACACGGACCAGACUCCUACGGGAGGCAGCAGUAAGGAAUAUUGGUCAAUGGAGGCAACUCUGAACCAGCCAUGCCGCGUGCAGGAAGACAGCCCUCUGGGUCGUAAACUGCUUUUAUUCGGGAAUAAACCCAUCUACGUGUAGAUGGCUGAAUGUACCGAAGGAAUAAGGAUCGGCUAACUCCGUGCCAGCAGCCGCGGUAAUACGGAGGAUCCAAGCGUUAUCCGGAUUUAUUGGGUUUAAAGGGUGCGUAGGCGGCUUAUUAAGUCAGGGGUGAAAGACGGUGGCUCAACCAUCGCAGUGCCUUUGAUACUGAUGAGCUUGAAUAUACUAGAGGUAGGCGGAAUGUGACAAGUAGCGGUGAAAUGCAUAGAUAUGUCACAGAACACCGAUUGCGAAGGCAGCUUACUAUGGUAUUAUUGACGCUGAGGCACGAAAGCGUGGGGAUCAAACAGGAUUAGAUACCCUGGUAGUCC
rnacentral:rRNA from 1 species